UACGUAGGGGGCAAGCGUUGUCCGGAUUUAUUGGGCGUAAAGAGCGUGUAGGCGGCCAGGUAGGUCCGUUGUGAAAACUCGAGGCUCAACCUCGAGACGUCGAUGGAAACCCUCUGGCUAGAGUCCGGAAGAGGAGAGUGGAAUUCCUGGUGUAGCGGUGAAAUGCGCAGAUAUCAGGAAGAACACCCGUGGCGAAGGCGGCUCUCUGGGACGGUACUGACGCUGAGACGCGAAAGCGUGGGGAGCGAACAGG
rnacentral:rRNA from 1 species